CAUUGGGCUCAGCUGGCCGGCCCAUUCCAUCAGGCCGGGUCCUGGGAGAGGUUCCGCGCCGGAGCUCCGUCGUUCGCAGGAAGUGCAGGAACCUGCAAAGGCCAGGAACGCUGCGGUGGAAUCCAGCCGCCAUAGGCCGUCUGCUGCCUGAGAUUGGAGGAAUUUGUUUUAAAGAGGGGCGGGGCCAGCCUGUGUCUGUGUGUGAAUGUGGGGGUCUGUCAGGCUCAGCAAAAACAGAGUAGAAUGAUGGACAGUGACUAUGAGCUGUUAUCCGAGGACUGCUGUGCACAACCCUGCAAAGUUAUAAUUCCUGAGGCGAGCGAGUGCUUCAUCUGCCGGGAGGGUCAGCUGGGGACCAGGGAGCCCAUCAGGACGUUCUGCGACUGCAGGAGCCUGCUGGCCCACCACCACUGCCUGCUCACCUGGAUCAGCAAGUACCAGCUGGAGCGGCGGUCGGCGUGGCUGCUGGUGGCGGCCCGGUGGAGGACCUGGCUCGUCCUGGCCGCCUUCGUCUCGCUGCUGGCCCUGGCGCCCUACACGUCGUACCGCAUGCUGACGGCCUUCCGCGACCCCCCUCCGGACCCACUGUUCAAGGCGGCCGCCGUCUGCUUUGGGCUGCUGUCAGUCACCCUGCUGAUCAUGGGCCUGUUCAGCUACUUCCGCGGGGAGUUCCGGAAGGCCCAACACUGCGCCUUCACAGUCCACCCACGCCAGAGCGAUGAGGGCGAUGUGAUGGACUGGCCUGGUUCAGGUCCUCCCCUGACCUGGAUGGACCAAGUCAAGAACCCGGGCCCAUGCCCGGGCCUAAAGAAAUGAGAGAAAUGGAGCAAGGUUGGAAGGAGGGGCCUGGAACGCUUACUGCUUCCCCUCUGGCUGGAAGGAGAUAAGAUUGUCAGCGAGGUCGGGGAGAGGAUGAAGAAAGAGCUGACGGACCCUCGUCUACUCUUUUCAGAUCUGGCCUCCUCCUGGCUACUCCGUCUGAACAGACUCUCUCAAAGAAAAGUUCAACCAUGAGUUCAACCAAAGCGUUUUCAAGCGAGUGUGCACUGCGGAGCAAAUACUUUGAGAGUUUGGACAUUUUGUGUGUUUUUACAGGCACAUGUGCAUAAUGUGCAUAACCACAUUACAGAUUUAAAAUAUCAGUUUACAUCAUUUCCACCAAUGGUCAAAGGUUUUAUUGUUAGAUUCUGCAAUUUUCAUUAAACAGGACAUGCAUUUGUUUACCCGGGCUAGAUUAUUAAUGCUUAUUGGCAUGCUUAUUAAACAUUGAAGUGCAAGUAAAACCUGCGUUACACAUGAGUUGUGCGAUGCUAAUGAUCUCUCUGAAUGAUCAUCGUCCAUGUUGUAGCGCCUCCAUGCUAAUGCAAGCUACGUUUUACUUCGAAUGUUGCAUUUUAGCGAGCAUGUUCCUUUAUACAAGCGUCUUUACUUGUAGCUGUGAUACUUUAGCAAAUUAAAAGCUACUAUCAGAAAAGCGAACGCGAAUAGCAGCAAAUGUUAGAGCUUCAGAUGGAACAAUUUGCCGUGUUUUUAUGUCACUGUGUUAAUGAUACGUGCCUUUAUGAACACUGCAGAUUAGCUUGAAGAUGUUAGCUCAACCACAGUCGGUGUUUCGGGC
ensembl:lncRNA uncharacterized LOC114769497